AUCUUUUGUCUCCUGUGUGCAUUAACAUAAACUUUUAGGAUUCAUGAAGUAAAUUAACAUCAUUUCUUUUUCUUUCAUGGUGCUUGGGGUCAAAGCCAGGCAGGACCUAGCACAUGCUAGGCAAGUACUGUGUCACUGAGCUACUUCCCAGCCCUAUAUAAACUCACAAAGAAGAAAAAUUUCAGGUAAGAAAUAGUUGAGUUUGAAACAUUCUUUUAAAUCUUUAAUAGGAUACACGCUAUAUGACUACUAGUAGUAUUUGUUAAGAAUUAUUUUUUUAAAAAUUUAGACUCACUCAUUCUGUUGUCCUCAAAACAACAACAAAAAUAUGUUUUAAACUGGCCAUCAGUACUCCCACUUUUAAUCCCAGCAUUGAGAAAGCUGAGGCAGGAGGACUGAGAGUUGAAAACUAUCCCGGGCUGUAUACAGUAAGACUUUGUCUCAAAAAUAAAGAAAAAUAAAUUUAAGCCUAAUAAGCAGGGAGAAACUAGAUCACUGACAGUUUUGCCACCUAAAGAUGUGUUAAACUGCUAGGUAAAGAAGGUACCUUCAAAAGAAGAUACACGUGAGCGUAUGUGCAUGUGCUCCUGUACCCAGUGCGUGUCUGGUGCUCACAAAGUGCAGAAGGGUAUUGGAUUCCAUGGAACUGGAGUUGGCUGUGAGCUGCUGUGUGGGUGCUGGGAACUGAACCCAGGGCCUCUGCAAGAGACUGCUCCCAACCACAGAGCCACCUAAGUCUUUGAGACCUAAGUCUUUGAGACCUAUUUCAUACAUGGUUUUUAUCAUACUCUCUUCGGUUCCUCAACAACUCCCAGAUCUCCCCCAUCCAUGUCUGCACAACUUCUUUUUCUUUCUCUUGAGUGAAAGAGAAAGAGACAUGGGAGAAGCCACUUAAACGUGUGAUCUGACCUGGUUGGCCGACUGCUCCUGCAUGAGACCUGCCUGGACUGGGCCUGGCACAGUCAGUGUCUCCACAGUCAGGAGCUUUCCCUCGGCCAGCAGCUAGCAGCUGCAGAGGGCUUGUUUAGUGGAGACUCUUAGUGCCUACCUCUCCCCCUCAGUGCUAGGACUGUGGCUGGCUGGGGUUUGUGCAGGUCUUAGAGUGUCAUAGUCUUUGAGCAUCCAUAUGGACAUCAGGCCUGUACUGUCUAGGAAAUGUCUUUUCUAUAAAAUCAUCCACCACCCCGACUCUUAGAGUCCUUCUGCCCCCUCUUCUGCAUAGGUCAUGAGCAUAUGGGGAGAAGUGUGAUAAAGACGUCUCAUUCGGGGCUGAAACAGUAUCAAUGAAACUGAGAACGUGUGACUAGAUGGGGUGGGGGGUUUAGGGGAAAACCUACUACUGUUAUUCUGUGCGAGAACUUAGCAGUGAGUGACUCAUGAUGAUAUAUGAUGAUAUAUGACCGAUAUAUCAGUGCAUUGCUCACCCCUCAUUAGAGAAGCUGCUGCUUGCAGUAGAUAGUAACACAGACCCACAACUGGACAGUUUCCAGAGUCAGAGACUUGAAGAAGAUGGCCUUUAAGGGAGCUAUAGGCAUUGUUCAGAGAGAGAACACAUGCUUAAGUAUAUGCAAAGGCAUGCAUUAAAUCCUUAGUAAAAGCAAAUAAAAAUAUAAAAUUACAGAAAUUUUUUUUCUUUAAGUCACUUUUAUCAAAGAUAUUUGUGACGUGAAGAAACCCACAUCUGGACUAGAAUAAAAGGCUACAAACAUGAAAAAAAACAAAAACACAAAAACCUUCCUGUGGCUUUUCUUAUCUUUAGAGAGAAAAUCUAAAAUCAGAUUUCUGUCCUUUAUAGCUGACACUUCAAGUCAUGUUCAUACUCCCAGCUGCUCAGACAGCUGAGCCUGGAGAAGAUUUUAAGGCCAGGAGUUGGGAACCAGUCAGAGCAAGACAGACCCUGUCUCUUUUUAAAAGUAAAUAAAUAAAAGAGAGAGGGAGACAGAACUACCAUUAUGAACGUGAAUGCAGCCAAUGGGAACACCAGUACUGGAUUUAUCUGAGGUCUAUCGAGAUGGCGAGGCACAAAACCCUCCUUCCCAAACCGUACUCCAUUGGAAGUUGCUCUUAUCUGUUACAUAUUUACUUGUUUUUUGAGACAGGGUCUCUCUGUGUAGCCCUGACUAGCCUGGCAUUUGCUGCAUGACCAGGCACGCUGCCCUGGAUCUCACAGAGCUCUUCCUGCCGCUGCCUCCAGACCACUAGGAUCAAAGGCAUGUGCCACACCACUUAGCCAUUGCUGCUUUUAACCAAAUAAAUGGGGAUUGCCCUGAGGGGUUUCAAAGACUGAGAAAAUCCUGACACUUGUUAGGAUAUAUAACUGACUCUAAGACAUUAGCUUCCACAUUCACGGUUCUCAGGCUUCUGACCUACCUUUGUCAGACACUUUCAUGUCUGAUACACCCAGAGAUAGAAAUUCUACUCUGCUUUCUCAUGACAGCAUCAAGUGAAGGUACUCAGGUCUCUUCAUAAGUACAAGCCAUGGCUGUCUUUAUGGUAUUUUCCUGUUGACAUCUUUGGUCUUGUCUGUAGUGGUACUGCCUUGCUAGGAACUCAUUCAGUAAGUACCCUGUCUCUGGACUUGUAAGUGGGCUUGCUUGUCCCCCUGGCUUUUCAUGGAUGACAUCUCAGAAAGCAUGACCAGAGGUGAGAUGUAUGUGGUGUGGGCUUCCUCUAUAGGGAAGUAAGUGGGUACAUCUACUUUGUGACAGUCACUACACUGACAUAGGGAGAGGAGGGCAAAGGAGAAAGGUUCAAAUGAUGGCCCCUGCUGUGUUCACACACAGUUGGUGUCUGGCACGGCUGUUAGGAGGUACAGUUCUUGAGCAUAUUUCUGUGCGGGGUUUGUUGUUUUUUUCUUAACUUAUCUGCCUUGCCUCCCUAAAAUACCAAUUAGAACUUAUUUUACACUUGUUUAUUUGUUUUGUUGUUGUUUUUUUUAAUGUCUUAUCUAGUCCAGGGUGGUCUCAGACUCGACAUCCAAGGAUGAUCUGCCUCCACCUCCCAAUUUGUAGUGUCGUAGGCAUGUGCCAUCCUGUCAACUUUUGUGUGGCACUGGGUGUUGAACCCAGGGCUUCAUCCAUCCUGGGGAAACAUUGUCAUUUGAGUGACAGCACUAGCCCCGUUCAGAUGAUUCAUAGCUGCAUAUCUUACGUUUGCUCUUAAGUCUUCCUUGAUGCUUAUUGCCAUUGUAAAUUACACAUCAUAUUUUUACAGGUAUCUUAUUCGUGGACCAUGUUUUAGUUCCAAUUUCAAGAAAACAAAGCUUACAAAUUUUCAGUGAUUUUAAAGAAACUAAUUGUUUGGCUGGAGAGAUGGCUCAGUGGUUAAAAGCACUAACUGCUCUUCCAUAGGUCCUGAGUUCAAUUCCCAGCAAACACAUGAUGGCUCCCAACCAUCUGUAGUGGCAUCUGACGCCCUCUUCUGAUGUGAAUGAAGACAGCUACAGUGUACUCAUAUAAG
rnacentral:lncRNA from 1 species